CGUCACUCUCUGUGUUCUUCUCCCUGAGUUUAACCAUUGGGACUCUUUCUACAGACAAAAUUUCAAACCCCACAAACCAUCUUUUCAAGAAAACUUUUCUCCAUCCACGCGUCCUCGUCCUCGUCCCUCUCCAGGCGGAUAGGGAGAUGGAGGAAAAGUUCCAUGAAAAGGCGGUCUGUGUUUUUAUACUUUCAUGACAACAAUAUGCAAGGAAUUUGAAGGUGCUUAUACCCUAAUCUAUUUUCUGUAAUUCUCUAUAAUACUUGUUGAUAUUGUAAUUUUUGAAUUAUCAUGCAGUAAGAGAUAUACAAAACUUAGGAAUAUCUAUAUCUCAUAGCCUAAGGAGAGAAAAGCAUUAUUUCAUGAUGAGAUUUUUGUAAUAGAAAAUUCUGGUUCUGCAAGCAAAUUCAAUUUGCGUGGGCCAAAGCUUGGGAAGAUGAAGAUGAAGAUGAAGAUGAUUUCCAACAACCUGAAGAACAUGGUUCUGCUGCCUGUGGGGGUCACAUAAUUGAUGAUCAUCAUGGUAACUGUGGUCGUGGGUUUCUGCUAUAAACUCAGAUCUUACUUGCUAUUGUGGAAGUGCUUGGGAUUAUUAGAUUUAAAUUUAUGUUGGCAUAAGGAAUGUUCAAAAAUUGAAGUAUACUCCGACUUCAUUGAAGCUAUAAAUCUCAUUGUUUUGAGGCUCCAAUCUUAAUCAUAAACGACAUCAUUUAUGAAGCCUAUUUUUUUUU